rnacentral:misc_RNA from 1 species
AAUUCUCAACCUCCCCAAUUUCUUGGGGAAGGCUUGGACUUUGGAGGCUUUUGCUGGUCUCUCUUAUUUUGAAGCCAGCUCCUCUUAAACGAAUUAGUGGGGUCCCUCUUUGCCGGUCCCUUAGACGUUAUAAGAUUUCUUUACGUCCGAGGUUUGGCUCUGUAGCCCCGCUUCUAAUAAGGGGUCUCUUCCUUGAGACGCCACUUUUUGAACC